rnacentral:lncRNA from 1 species
CUGGGGGAAGGAGUUAUACUCAGUGGUGGCCAUAGAGAGUUGGUGACUGCCUUUGAGAGGAGAAUGGUUGUGAUCCUUUUGCCGAGAACUCACCCAGAGGACUUAUACCUUGGUGACAGCAGAAGGACUCAAAUUAGAAAACUGAGGCCCAGAGAAGGAAAGUAGCUGCCAGAGGUCACACAGCUAGGAUUGAGGGAUCAGAGAGUUCCUCCUCCCCCACAAGCUGGCACAUGUGGAUAUUGGCUCUGUUUUGCCUUUGACCCCUAGUGAAAGAAAAUACUGAGACGGAGUCUCGCUCUGUCGCCCAGGUUGGAGUGAAGCGGCUAGAUCUCAGCUCACUGCAACCUCUGCCUCCCAGAUCUUCUUCCAUAUAUGGCUCUGUGUGUCUCCUGUCCUUCCCUGUCUCCUCACUGCUUUUCAGCUGGUAGACCCCUGUGGGGACAACAGAUCAGAGCUUGGUCACCAAUAUGGACAUCUAGGUCUGAGCAGGGCCCACUCCCCGGGGGCGCAUCAGCUCCAUCCCGGCACCCUUUACACUGGCCUUCUCUUCACAAAGGACCACAGGUCAUCCUCAAGCCUUCCUCCCAGGCUAUCCUUGUCCCUGAAUACUAAUGUCUAAAGGUCAGCCCAGCUACCAGCAGUGUGCAUGUGAUGUGUCCCAUCUCCCCUUCGGAUUGGAGGAAGAAGCUGUGUCCCUCCCAUCAGACAGACGGUCUCCUUAAAGAUUCUCCUGGUCUCCAGCUUGGGCUCUGCUGGAAAGAAGAGGAAGUAUUUAGCAAGGGUGAAGAUGGGUUCUUACUUCCCUGAGGCAACCAGAGAUAAGAAAAGACCAGAAUAUGAAUAUCCAGCAUUCCACAAAGAAUCCUACAGGCAGGGAUAUUGCCCAAUCACCAGUGCCUCGCAUCCCAGUUCUAUCCAAGAUCCAAGCUUGAUAUCCUCCUGAAAGACUUCCUGAAUCAGGUCACCAACAUGGACAUCUGAACUUCCAGAAUCAGGUCACCGUCUUUCUUCUCAUCUCUGGAUGUAUUUGGAGCUCAUUUGUCUGACGGUUUUUGAAUGCUAUCUUUUAAAAAUAAACUUUUACAAUUUGGGUUUAAUAAUUCUAGAUUUAUAGAAAAGUUGAAAAGAAAGUACAGAAAGUUCCCAUAUAUCCCUUAUCCAGUUCUCUUAAUGUUAACCUCCUACAUCAUCAUGGAACAUUUGCCAAAAUGAAGAUGUCAACACUGGUGCUUUGCUGUGAACUAAACUCCAGACUU